CCUACGGGAGGCAGCAGUGAGGAAUAUUGGUCAAUGGACGAGAGUCUGAACCAGCCAAGUAGCGUGAAGGAUGACUGCCCUAUGGGUUGUAAACUUCUUUUAUAAAGGAAUAAAACGAGGCACGUGUGCCUUUUUGCAUGUACUUUAUGAAUAAGGAUCGGCUAACUCCGUGCCAGCAGCCGCGGUAAUACGGAGGAUCCGAGCGUUAUCCGGAUUUAGUGGGUUUAAAGGGAGCGUAGAUGGGUUGGUAAGUCAGGUGUGAAAGUUUGCGGCUCAACCGUAAAAUUGCAAUUGAUACUGGCAGUCUUGAGUACAGUUGAGGUAGGCGGAAUUCGUGGUGUAGCGGUGAAAUGCUUAGAUAUCACGAAGAACCCCGAUUGCGAAGGCAGCUUACUAAACUGUGACUGACAUUGAUGCUCGAAAGUGUGGGUAUCAAACAGGAUUAGAUACCCCUGUAGUC
rnacentral:rRNA from 1 species